UCAUCUGAACAACAGACAGAUUGGCAGGAAAGGCCUGUCAGCCCUUCGCUCCUGCCACUCCGAGCAGGAGCAACAAAGAGCCCCGAUCCAUGCAAAUAAACCCGCUGGCUGCCUGGAUGCAAGUGCUGUCCCAAGCCCCCCAUGCUGUAUGAGGUGGGAAACCUCCGGCAGCAGUGCUGCAGGCCAAGAUAUCUCCAACGUGAGCUAGUCACCCAAAGAUUCCCUUUCUGAGGGCACAGGUCACAGCCGUGGAAUGUCCCAACCCAGAGGGUCCCCCGAUGUCUGUGAAACGCAAAGAUGCUCCCUUCCACCAGAUUAAACGCAACACAACGAGCAGCACAGAAAGAGAGGAACUCAGGGACUGUGUGUACGCAUACCGGGGAUGGAUAAACUGAAGCUGACUCCGGUC